rnacentral:rRNA from 1 species
UACGUAGGGUGCAAGCGUUAAUCGGAAUUACUGGGCGUAAAGGGCUCGUAGGUGGCCAACUAAGUCAGACGUGAAAGCCCACGGCUCAACCGUGGAAGUGCAUCCGAAACUGCAUGGCUUGAGUCUCGGAGAGGAAGGUGGAAUGCUUGGUGUAGAGGUGAAAUUCGUAGAUAUCAAGCAGAACACCUGCGGCGAAGGCGGCCUUCUGGACGAUGACUGACGCUGAGACGCGAAAGCGUGGGGAGCAAACAGG